GGGCGAGACACGUAAUAACACGGGCGAGACACGUAAUACACGGGGCGAGACACGUAAUAACACGGGGCGAGACACGUAAUAACACGGGGCGAGACACGUAAUAACACGGGGAGAGACAUAAACACGGGGCGAGACACGCAAUAACACGGGGAGAGACACGUAAUACAUGGGGCGAGACACGUAAUAACACGGGGCGAGACACGUAAUAACACGGGGCGAGACACGUAAUACACGGGGCGAGACACGUAAUAACACGGGGCGAGACACGUAAUAACACGGGGCGAGACACGUAAUAACACGGGGCGAGACACAUAAUAACACGGGGCGAGACACGUAAUAACACGGGGCGAGACACGUAAUAACACGGGGCGAGACACGUAAUACACGGGCGAGACACGUAAUAACACGGGGCGAGACACGUAAUAACACGGGGCGAGACACGUAAUAACACGGGGCGAGACGCGUAAUAACACGGGGUGAGACGCGUAAUAACACUGGGGCGAGACACGUAAUAACACGGGGUGAGACACGUAAUAACACGGGGUGAGACACGUAAUAACACGGGCGAGACACGUAAUAACACGGGGCGAGACACGUAAUAACACGGGGCGAGACGCGUAAUAACACGGGGCGAGACACGUAAUAACACGGGGCGAGACACGUAAUAACACGGGGUGAGACACGUAAUAACACGGGGUGAGACACGUAAUAACACGGGGCGAGACACGUAAUAACACGGGGAGAGACACGUAAUACACGGGGCGAGACACGCAAUAACACGGGGAGAGACACGUAAUACAUGGGGCGAGACACGUAAUAACACGGGGCGAGACACGUAAUAACACGGGGCGAGACACGUAAUAACAUGCAGCACGAAAGCCAAAGCAACAAUGCACAGGUACUCACAAGACCCACAGUCAUGGAAACAAUACCUGACCAAGACAAUGGUGAACAAAGGGGACAUUUAUAUAAUUGCUAAUCAGAGGAAAUGGGAACCAGGUGUGUGUAAUUAGACAGCUCAGUGAUGCCUAGAAAGCCAGUGACGUAGGCUUCCAGAACUGGUGCACGGAAUGAGCAGCAGUAUGGGAGUUAGAUGCCUUUUUAAACAUUCAAUACACUACAAGUUUGCAUUUCCAGGAAGCAGGAAAAUUCUCGACAACAAAAGAGUGAUCAAAUUAAGAUCUACGUCUGUAGCACAAUACAACACAACACAAUAUGAGCCUGGUUCAUUUUCAGUGAUGAGGCCCUGUACCCCAUUUACAGUUUCUACUUCAAUGUAUCAGGUGGAGUUAUUCACCAGCUAUAGAGUGAGUUGUUGUUUAUGUUUCUAAGACUGCAAGGUGGGAGAUGCAACAAUGGUCUUGAGAACAGCUGGAAGUGUGUUGGUGGUCUUUCUCUGGUCUGUAACAGUGGUACUGGGUCAGGAUGGCUGGAGUGUUACAUACACCACUCAGAGUAUCUGUACCUUGAAGGGGUCAUCAGUGGAUCUGUUCUGCUCUUACACAUAUCCCAGUGGUUAUACGGUCACAACAACCUUCUGGUUCACUAAGAUUGUAAAUCUGAGAGACGACCCAGACAACAAAGGUCGUGUGACGUACCGUAGAGAUAGGAUGAAUGUCCACACCCUGAGAAUCACAGACCUGAGAGAGAGUGACUCAGCUGAGUACAAGUUCAGAUUUAUAACAGGUCAGACUGGAGAGAAAUAUACUGGUGAUCCU
ensembl:lncRNA